CAGCAGCCACGGGAAUACGAAGGGGGCUAGCGUUGUUCGGAAUCACUGGGCGUAAAGCGCACGUAGGCGGAUACUUAAGUCAGGGGUGAAAUCCCGGGGCUCAACCUCGGAACUGCCUUUGAUACUGGGUAUCUUGAGUCCGGGAGAGGUUUGUGGAACUCCGAGUGUAGAGGUGAAAUUCGUAGAUAUUCGGAAGAACACCAGUGGCGAAGGCGGCCAACUGGCCCGGUACUGACGCUGAGGUGCGAAAGCGUGGGGAGCAAACAGGAUUAGAUACCCGUGUAGUCCCUGUCUCUUAUAA
rnacentral:rRNA from 1 species